rnacentral:rRNA from 1 species
UACGUAGGGUGCGAGCGUUAAUCGGAAUUACUGGGCAUAAAGCGUGCGCAGGCGGUAAUGCAAGACAGAUGUGAAAUCCCCGGGCUUAACCUGGGAACUGCAUUUGUGACUGCAUUGCUGGAGUGCGGCAGAGGGGGAUGGAAUUCCGCGUGUAGCAGUGAAAUGCGUAGAUAUGCGGAGGAACACCGAUGGCGAAGGCAAUCCCCCUGGGCCUGCACUGACGCUCAUGCACGAAAGCGUGGGGAGCAAACAGG